rnacentral:rRNA from 1 species
CCUACGGGUGGCAGCAGUGAGGAAUAUUGGUCACUGGGCGCGAGCCUGAACCAGCCAAGUCGCGUGAAGGAUGAAUGCUCUAUGGAUCGUAAACCUCUUUUAUAAGGGAAUAAAGUGUGGGACGUGUCCCUUUUUGUAUGUACUUUACGAAUAAGGAUCGGCUAACUCCGUGCCAGCAGCCGCGGUAAUACGGAGGAUCCGAGCGUUAUCCGGAUUUUUUGGGUUUAAAGGGAGCGUAGAUGGGCUGUUAAGUCAGUUGUGAACGUUUGUGGCUCAACCGUAAAAUUGCAGUUGAUACUGGGAGCCUUGAGUAUAUUUGAGGCAGGCGGAAUGCGUGGUGUAGCGGUGAAAUGCUGAGAUAUCACGCAGAACUCCGAUUGCGAAGGCAGCCUACCAAGC